rnacentral:rRNA from 1 species
AGGAUGAACGCUGGCGGUCUGCUUAACACAUGCAAGUCGAACGGAGUAGCAAUACUUAGUGGCGGACGGGUGAGUAACGCGUGAGAAUCUACCUUCAGGACGGAGACAACAGUUGGAAACGACUGCUAACCCCCGAUGUACUGAAAAGGCAAAUAUUUAUAGCCUGAAGAAGAGCUCGCGUCCGAUUAGCUAGUUGGAGAGGUAAAAGCUCACCAAGGCGACGAUCGGUAGCUGGUCUGAGAGGACGAUCAGCCACACUGGGACUGAGACACGGCCCAGACUCCUACGGGAGGCAGCAGUGGGAAUUUUCCGCAAUGGGCGAAAGCCUGACGGAGCAAGACCGCGUGGGGGAAGAAGGCUCUUGGGUUGUAAACCCCUUUUCUCUGGGAAGAACACAAUGACGGUACCAGAGGAAUCAGCAUCGGCUAACUCCGUGCCAGCAGCCGC